UACGGAGGGUGCGAGCGUUGUCCGGAAUCAUUGGGCGUAAAGGGCGCGUAGGUGGCGGGACAAGCGUGCGGUGAAAGCCUGGGGCUCAACCCCGGGUCGGCCGUGCGAACUGUUUUGCUUGAGCACUGUAGAGGCAGGCGGAAUUCCGGGUGUAGCGGUGGAAUGCGUAGAGAUCCGGAAGAACACCGGUGGCGAAGGCGGCCUGCUGGGCAGUAGCUGACACUGAGGCGCGGACAGCGUGGGGAGCAAACAGGG
rnacentral:rRNA from 1 species